GACGAACGCUGGCGGCGUGCCUAAUACAUGCAAGUAGGACGCAGUUGCGAACGGGUGAGUAACGCGUAGGUAACUACCUAAUAGAGGGGGAUAACUAUUGGAAACGAUAGCUAAUACCGCAUACUAGUAGAUGGACCUGCGUUGUAUUAGCUAGUAGGUAGGGUAAGGGCCUACCUAGGCAACGAUACAUAGCCUACCUUAGAGGUUGAUCGGCCACAAUGGUACGGAGUCACGGCCCAGACUCCUACGGGAGGCAGCAGUAGGGAUUCUUCGGCAAUGGGGGUAACCCUGACCGAGCAACGCCGCGGGAGUGAAGAAGGUGUUCGGAUCGUAAAGCUCUGUUGUUAAGGAAGCGGUACUUAACCAGAAAGGGACGGCUAACUACGUGCCAGCAGCCGCGGUAAUUC
rnacentral:rRNA from 1 species